AUUGAGUUUGAUCCUGGCUCAGAGCGAACGCUGGCGGCAGGCUUAACACAUGCAAGUCGAACGGGCGUAGCAAUACGUCAGUGGCAGACGGGUGAGUAACGCGUGGGAACGUACCUUUUGGUUCGGAACAACCCAGGGAAACUUGGGCUAAUACCGGAUAAGCCCUUACGGGGAAAGAUUUAUCGCCGAAAGAUCGGCCCGCGUCUGAUUAGCUUGUUGGUGAGGUAACGGCUCACCAAGGCGACGAUCAGUAGCUGGUCUGAGAGGAUGAUCAGCCACAUUGGGACUGAGACACGGCCCAAACUCCUACGGGAGGCAGCAGUGGGGAAUAUUGGACAAUGGGCGCAAGCCUGAUCCAGCCAUGCCGCGUGAGUGAUGAAGGCCCUAGGGUUGUAAAGCUCUUUUGUGCGGGAAGAUAAUGACGGUACCGCAAGAAUAAGCCCCGGCUAACUUCGUGCCAGCAGCCGCGGUAAUACGAAGGGGGCUAGCGUUGCUCGGAAUUACUGGGCGUAAAGGGUGCGUAGGCGGGUCUUUAAGUCAGGGGUGAAAUCCUGGAGCUCAACUCCAGAACUGCCUUUGAUACUGAGGAUCUUGAGUUCGGGAGAGGUGAGUGGAACUGCGAGUGUAGAGGUGAAAUUCGUAGAUAUUCGCAAGAACACCAGUGGCGAAGGCGGCUCACUGGCCCGAUACUGACGCUGAGGCACGAAAGCGUGGGGAGCAAACAGGAUUA
rnacentral:rRNA from 1 species